rnacentral:rRNA from 1 species
AGUGAACGCUGGCGGUAGGCCUAACACAUGCAAGUCGAACGGCAGCACAGUAAGAGCUUGCUCUUACGGGUGGCGAGUGGCGGACGGGUGAGGAAUACAUCGGAAUCUACUUUUUCGUGGGGGAUAACGUAGGGAAACUUACGCUAAUACCGCAUACGACCUACGGGUGAAAGCAGGGGAUCUUCGGACCUUGCGCGAUUGAAUGAGCCGAUGUCGGAUUAGCUAGUUGGCGGGGUAAAGGCCCACCAAGGCGACGAUCCGUAGCUGGUCUGAGAGGAUGAUCGGCCACCCUGGACCUGAGACCCGGUCCGGCCUCCUCCGGGGGGCAGCGGUGGGAAUUUUUGGCCAUUGGGCGCAGGCUUGUCCCAGCCAACCCGCUUGGGUGAGGAAGGCUUUCGGUUUGUAAAGCCCUUUUGUUGGAAAAGAAAAGCGGCAGGUAAUACCCCGCUGUUCUGACGGUACCCAAAGAAUAAGCACCGGCUAACUUCGUG